rnacentral:tRNA from 1 species
GCCUCAGUGGCUCAGUCUGGUAGAGCACUUGCAUGGUAAGCAAGUGGCCAUGGGUUCAAAUCCCAUCUGAGGCU